AGAAGUCGUAACAAGGUUUCCGUAGGUGAAUCUGCGGAAGGAUCAUUG
rnacentral:rRNA from 1 species